CUUGGUCAUUUAGAGGAAGUAAAGGUCGUAACAAGGUUUCCGUAGGUGAACCUGCGGAAGGAUCAUUCAUAAUAAGUGUUUUAUGGCACUUUUUAAAUCCAUAUCCACCUUGUGUGCAAUGUCAGUCGAUCUUCUUCAUGGAGAUCGACCAAACAUCAACCUUUAUUUUUUAACUCUUUGUCUGAAAAAUAUUAUGAAUAAACAAUUCAAAAUACAACUUUCAACAACGGAUCUCUUGGCUCUCGCAUCGAUGAAGAACGCAGCGAAAUGCGAUACGUAAUGUGAAUUGCAGAAUUCAGUGAAUCAUCGAAUCUUUGAACGCAUAUUGCGCUCUUUGGUAUUCCGAAGAGCAUGCUUGUUUGAGUAUCAGUAAACACCUCAAAGCUUUUGGAUUUUUUAAUCGAAAAGCUUUGGACUUGAGCAAUCCCAACACCAAUCUUUUUGAGAUCGGUGGCGGGUUGCUUGAAAUGCAGGUGCAGCUGGACAUUCUCCUGAGUUAAAAGCAUAUUCAUUUAGUCCCGUCAAACGGAUUAUUACUUUUGCUGCAGCUAACAUAAAGGGAGUUUGACCGUAUUGGCUGACUGAUGCAGGAUUUCACAAGGGUCGGCAACGAUUCUUGUUAAACUCGAUCUCAAAUCAAGUAAGACUACCCGCUGAACUUAAGCAUAUCAAUAAGCGGAGGAAAAGAAACUAACAAGGAUUCCCCUAGUAACGGCGAGUGAAGCGGGAUGAGCUCAAAUUUAAAAUCUGGCUGGUUUACUAGUCCGAAUUGUAGUUUAUAGAAGCGUUUUCGGUGGCAGCCUGGGUAUAAAUCCUUUGGAAUAGGGUAUCAUAGAGGGUGAGAAUCCCGUCUUUGACUCAGUGCAUGCUACUAUGUGAUACGUUUUCAAAGAGUCGAGUUGUUUGGGAAU
rnacentral:sRNA from 1 species